UACGGGGGGAGCAAGCGUUGUUCGGCUUUACUGGGCGUAAAGGGCGCGUAGGCGGUCAGCACAAGUCAGUUGUGAAAUCUCCGGGCUUAACCCGGAAAGGUCAACUGAUACUGUGCGACUAGAGUGCGGAAGGGGCAACUGGAAUUCUCGGUGUAGCGGUGAAAUGCGUAGAUAUCGAGAGGAACACCUGCGGCGAAGGCGGGUUGCUGGGCCGACACUGACGCUGAUGCGCGAAAGCCAGGGGAGCGAACGGG
rnacentral:rRNA from 1 species